CCUACGGGAGGCAGCAGUGGGGAAUUUUGGACAAUGGGCGCAAGCCUGAUCCAGCCAUGCCGCGUGUGUGAAGAAGGCCUUUUGGUUGUAAAGCACUUUAAGCGAGGAGGAGGCUACUAGUAUUAAUACUACUGGAUAGUGGACGUUACUCGCAGAAUAAGCACCGGCUAACUCUGUGCCAGCAGCCGCGGUAAUACAGAGGGUGCGAGCGUUAAUCGGAUUUACUGGGCGUAAAGCGUGCGUAGGCGGCUGAUUAAGUCGGAUGUGAAAUCCCUGAGCUUAACUUAGGAAUUGCAUUCGAUACUGGUCAGCUAGAGUAUGGGAGAGGAUGGUAGAAUUCCAGGUGUAGCGGUGAAAUGCGUAGAGAUCUGGAGGAAUACCGAUGGCGAAGGCAGCCAUCUGGCCUAAUACUGACGCUGAGGUACGAAAGCAUGGGGAGCAAACAGGAUUAGAUACCUUGGUAGUCCAUGCCGUAAACGAUGUCUACUAGCCGUUGGGGUCUUUGAGACUUUAGUGGCGCNGCACGCGAGUAAGUAGACCGCCGCGGGAGGUACGGUCGGCGAGACGUAAACGUACGAAAGAAAGUUAGACGGACGNGGAGGAGNGCCGACGGACGACGACGAGGGAGGAGG
rnacentral:rRNA from 1 species